UGUCAUCGCUGUCGUCCUCCGCGCAUCUUACGAGGACCGGGAGACUCCAUGCCGCAGUUGUCGAAAAGGCCGCUUUUCCGGCGAUUUUCAACGAAGUGUACAGUCUCCUGCAAGCAGUCGGUGAAAGCAUCGGACGCCAAGAUUGCCUCGGGGCGGUCUUCCAGAAGUCGACCCACAGCAUUGUCGACGUACUCACCACCAGUGAGCAGGGUGUAGUCGAUCACAUGACACACCUGCUCAGCUGUCACGUGGGCACUGAUGUACUCUGAGCAGGUGAGAGCCAGGGAUCCACGAUGUAAAAAGGCAGGACUGAAACGACACAAGACAGAUGGACACAGGGCGACGCAUGCAGGAAGCCUUCACAUAGAUAUGAAGUUCACCCAAAUAAAAUGCCUUUCCACAUCAUGAAUCAAAGCCAAAUCACCAAACAUCUUAUUGUACUGAUAAAACCUAGCAGGGAUCCCUUUAGAUGAAUGUCCGAAAGCACAAUCUUCUAGAAACCUGAAGAAGCAAUCCUGAUUUGCUGUGAACAUAUCGGGUUGAAGGAAAUUUCACAGGCCAUUUCCAACCUCAUGCAAAGGGGCCACACAUUCUUGAUUGUGUGCCCCUUCAGGCUAGCUGCCAUGGUAAAUGAGCUUUUGGCUGUUUGCAUAUAUAUAAAAACGACAUUCUAAACAGCUAGCUUUAAGUGACACUUCUGCAUGUGUUUGUUUCAAACGUCACAUUUUGCACUUGUAGCUGCGCAAUCAUCAACUAGGUUUUAUAUUUGUGGUUUAGUUCCAAGGAGUGCAGAAGCUAAUUUUAUCUGACUUUUAAGACAUAUAGUUAUAGUACAGCAUCGACUAUAAAUGGCAAGAUUUAUGUAGGAACAAUACCUGACUUUGCCGAAGUGCCCUGAAAUGAUCACUUGGACACCAUGGAAGCACACCCAUAGCUGAAGUGCAUAUUGAUUCACUUCCACAUGAAAAUUUUUGUUUAAUGAUAGUGCUAUUAAAAGCUGCUUUUGUCUCCAUU